GAUUAACGCUGGCGGCGUGCAUAACACAUGCAAGUCGAACGAUGAAACUUUAAUGAACCCUUCGGGGAGAAUUAAAGCGGAUUAGUAGCGAACGGGUGAGUAACGCGUGAGUAACCUGCCUUACACAAGGGGAUAGCCUUUGGAAACGAAGAAUAAUACCCUAUAAAACCAUAAAAGCACAUGCAAUUAUGGUCAAAGUGAUAGCGGUGUAAGAUGGACUUGCGUCUGAUUAGCUAGUUGGUGAGAUAAAAGCCCACCAAGGCAACGAUCAGUAGCCGGCUUGAGAGAGUGUACGGCCACAUUGGGACUGAGACACGGCCCAGACUCCUACGGGAGGCAGCAGUGGGGAAUUUUGCACAAUGGGGGAAACCCUGAUGCAGCGACGCCGCGUGAUUUAGAAGGCCUUCGGGUUGUAAAAAUCUUUUGUAUAGGAAGAAAAUGACAGUACUAUACGAAUAAGGUCCGGCUAAUUACGUG
rnacentral:rRNA from 1 species